AAGAUCCCACUGGAGGAAGGAAAUGGCAACCCACUUCAGUAUUUUUGCCAGGAUAAUCCUGUGGACAGAGGAGCCUGGUGGGUUAUCAUCCAUGGGGUCGCAGAGAGAGACGACUGAAACAACACGCAUGCACCACUUGAUUCCAAAUGCUUUAAAGGGAUGUGCAGAGCAAGAGGCAAAAAAAGAUAGUUUGAGAUGUGAAGUUCAGACGCAGGUGCGCUGCCCCUCUGAGCUCACCAACUGCGGGGCGCGGUACCUUCCAGUCCUUUCCAAGCCACAGAAAGCUUGUUUGAUAGUUCUGCAGAUUAAUCACAGCUGACCCUGCUGUUCCACUGCUGAGUUCUGCCCAAAUGCCUGCGAAGGCGUCCCAGAGCAGCAGGCCACCACUGUGAGAGGCCCAGACAGCAGUGAUUCUCAGCAUGUCAGCGUCUGCAGGCAGCCCAGCACCCGGGUCGUGGUGACAAGCCCAGACACCGAGUGUCCCGCCAUUCACACAGGUGGUCACUGCCUCCCUUGGAAGCCCUAGGGGGAAGACGCAUGGAUGGGGAGACCCGCUGUUCUCAUGGAAGCCUGGGAUAUGGGCCUGGAAGCAAAGGCACUGGCCAACACAAAAGGGCAAGGGGCAAACAAGAUGCGUCAUUAACCAGGUAGCGGGUGAACGCUUUAUCUGAGCCCUUGGCUGAAGGGCCUGGGCUUAGGGCACGCACUCCAGGCAGAGGCGAGGUGACCACAGAUGAAGCCUGGCCUCGCGGUGCCACCCUUGUCAGCCAGGUUGCUUGUGUCCAAAGAAGCGGCAGUCCCUUUAACCAGGGUGGUCCAGGCCAGAAGUUGUCUUGAGGCUACUGUGAGCAGCUGCGUCCAUCGCAGCUCAGGACGCAGGGGUGGUCCGGGACCCAGCUGUCCGCAUACAUUCAGCGCAGGCGCACUAGCAGCUGGCCUCCUGCAGAAUCUCAAUUUGGAGACUUUGGGUCACUCGAAAGGCAGCAGGCAGGUUUUCCUAGUCUUGCUGUGACUCCAGCUCCUGCUCCGCCUGGCCCCGGGGGCUGGAGCUGCAGCUUCUGCUCAGCCUGGAGAGCCUCCACAAGCUUCUGCUUUACGAAAUUCAGCCCGUCGUGGUACUUAGGUCUGCAAGGGACCAGAAGACCACAUAGCUUUAGGAAUAAAAAUGAAACUCAGCACCCACAGCAAUAAAAGCCUCAAUGUCUAGUCAUAAAACCCAGGAAAGGAAUUGGAAGGAAACUCAUCGGAUGCUCUAAGGACUUCUACUGGGGUGUUGCCCAGCACACGCUAACACUGGGUUUUGGGCAAGCCUUUAAAAUUCACCUGUCCACUAGGUUGUGGCGAAUAUCUCAAACUGAGAGAAUGUGUCAUUUCAUGGUCUUCAGAACUGGAAGCGUCAUGGAAUCAUCACAAAGACACAGCACUCAGCGCUCACUGGCUGCGAUCAGAGCCAGAGGGACCCGUCUCCCCGCUAGGUGUGCAGGAUUCCCUUCCCCAGACCC